UUAGGUAUGCCAGAAAAGCUAAAGCACACCAGGAAAGCUGAGCAUCCCUCCAACAUCUGCAAUUGCAGUGCUCUUUCCACCUACAGACAAAAUGGGGUUUGGUGGUUGGUGUAUGUGAGGGUGUGUAUAUGUGUCUAUCAGAGGAUGACUAUGUGGACGAGUUCCAUUGGCCUGCAAGCUACAAUGGGUUAGACAAUUUAUAAGCCUUGUCUUAUAUGACUUGGCUGCACAUGCACUAAAUCCCCAUCUAGUAGAAUUAAAAUGCAGUAACAUUUCUGUCACCAUCCCUCUGUGGUGGCACACAUCAUGUGAGGCACUAGUGAAGGUUGUGCCUGCAAGUGUCCAAGCCAGGGACAUCACUCAUCUCUCCCCAGGAGGCAACGCCCCCCAUCUCACACCUUCCCUUGGGGAGCUUGGCCUGGGCCUCCUUCCCAGCACUGAGGUAAGGCCAGGGCUUUACCAGCACGUGGUCACCUCCACUGGUGCUUUGCAGACCUCUCCAUGCACAACACACACAAGGCCAAUGGCAGUAACCAUCGGGUACACGCGUGCGGGUAUCUAGUUCCUGUCUGUGCAGGGGGUUUAACUUCAAAUGACAAAGCACUGGCCAUUCGAGCAGGUACCUCACCUGCUGUGGGACACGGGUACGCGCUCACCCGAACACUGAGCUCCAGCACAGCCAGGCCAAAAACCAAAGCACUGCUACUGAUUCUUUUCUGGACAAACAAUUUUAUUUUAGUGAAAACGAGGACAAAGGAAAUGCCAAUGGUGGAGGAGGGCGAACCCACAGCGGCAGCUUCCAAAAAGGGUUUGUUGUGUUGUUCCUCACAGACAGCAAAGGUUCUUCUCAGUUAAAAACACAACUCAUAAAACAAGACAGCUACCAGAAUUCAUUCAUUUAGGAGCUAAAAGCAUCAUCUGCAGAGCAGACGUUGUGCCAGUGACUGCGUCUGCUUCCUGUACACUCAGAAAGAGCCACCGUGUCCUGGGCAGCGGGUGAGUGAGCCACUUCCCGGGAAGAGGUGGCUGGAGGCAGGCACGGUGCCAGCUCUUGUUGGGUCACAAGGGGAGAGCAGGUGAAAACCCCAAAGGAACCAAAUGUAAACCGUGAGGGGUCAAAGGUGCUGGGGGGAUGUACGUGUCCUCGGUGUAAUUUCAUACUGUGGCAGUGAAGCAGAGGAGGUGAGUGCUGAUCCAGCAUCAACUAGAGCUAAAGUUACUCUGUUUCCCUUGAACAAAUAAGUGAAUAAUACAGAGCUGGAAAUCAUAAGGCUGAGAACAUUUUUAUGCAUACUGCAUAACAAAAUAAACCCUUUACAUAAGACAGUAAUAAUGCCCAUUAAUGAAUAUACUUAUGGCAGAGAUUUUAAUUCCAUGCAUAUGAUUUAAUAUCGCAGAAAAAAACAUACAAAGAAAAAAAACCAAAACCAACAAAACACAUUAAAAAAAAAACCUGCUUAAGCAUAAUCAAAAUUCCUUUUGCAUUGCACUUUAGAGGAGGAGACCUGCACUAGCCUCAGUCUCUGGCAUCCCAAACGCACGAGGGCAGAACCCUGGAUCAGCGGACAGUUUCCCGUCAUUUACUUGGUGGAACUGUUUCUUGCUCCCAACAGUUUUACAUUGUCCCAGUAAUUCUACUCCUUUCAUAUUUCUUCUUUUUUUUUUUGUACCUAAAAACAUAUAUAUGAACUUCUUUGUUAAUGCUCACAGUUAUUAUAAUGGUUAUUAUAUAAUGGUUUCAAGCAAACAGCUCUUGUUUAGGAAAAAAAAAAAUCUCUCUAAUGUACUGUAAGUAAAUAGGAUAAUUUCAGGAUUGGAAGCCGCUUUCUGUCUACUGAGAAAUAAUCUGUAAGCUUACAGAGUUUGCAGUAAUGUCCAAAAGCAAAUAAAGAUUACCGGAAAUAAUGGUUCUUUGUUUUGAGUAACUUCUGGGGAGGAUGACCCAUUGGGGGGGGCUUUUUUUAAUCUUUUUCCUUUUAUUCUGUAAGGUCACCAGAGUGUCAGCGUUGCCUCUAGAAGAUGCUGAGAGUUAAAACGAGCUGGAAGGCACAUCUGCAGCCCCAGAUCAAUUUGUUCAUGUUCUGCUGAUGAGCUCGAGUGUGACAGUAUCCCAUAACGCGAUGUUGCACUCCCCUUGUGCACAGAACUCUGGACUGACGGUUCAUAGUAAAAAGCAGGUAAAUACUGAAUUUAUGGGAAGAUGGUGCAACAAAGGUGAGUUUUCCAGAAAACUGACGUUAAGAUUUCAGAAUGGCUUCAAAACGCGUUCAUCUUUUGCUUUAUUUCUCAACUGACUUACUUAACGGAUUAUCCAUUUCCUUCUUUCUUUUCCAUAAGCUGAAGUGCUCUUGGAUGAAGCGAGUCCUUUGAACACACCGAGUAGUGAGGAUGUCUUUAGAAACGAUGGUGUGAUGUCAAACACUGAAGUCUGUAAGGCUGGGCUUGUAAGUAUAGUGCGUAGUCUUCUCAUCCCCCUCCCUCUUUCCAGUCCUGCAUCUCCCUUGCUUCUUGUCUUCAGGACAGGAAAUGAAGAGAAUUCUUUCUAAGUAAGUUAAAAAUCAAAGCACUCCGAAAUUGUCAUAUACCCAUGACAGGAUUAAACUGAUGGCUUCCGAGGUGGCUGGAAAACUGCUAAUGAAAUGGCAUCAUCACCAGAGGGCUUCUGCAUUGAGAACCCCCAAACCUGUAACAAGUCAUUAAAAAUUGUGCAUCGAAGGUUGUUUUUUGUUUUGCUUUGAAAGGUUCAUUAUAAAAAUCUCAUUAAUUUUUUAA